CACAGUAGUAACUCGUGGCUGCCCUACAAUUUUUAGGUAACUGUAAAAGUAAAAAUAGUUGUUUUACAGUUGUAUUUUACUGUACCACCAUUUAAGAAUUAACAGAAGAAAUUUGGGGAAGAAGAAGCACUGAGAACAGAUUGCUUCCUCAUGUUCUAAAUGUGUAUUCUUAUCAUCAUCAUCACUUAAUAUUUUGAGAAUAAAUUUCGAAGUUUAUAUUAAAGAUAUUUUCCACUGAAUAGCCAAGACAACUCAGAAAGAGAAUGACAAAUUUGGAGAAAAGUCACCUGUUCACAAGGCAUUUUUGAAGACAAG